rnacentral:rRNA from 1 species
UACGUAGGGUGCAAGCGUUGUCCGGAAUUAUUGGGCGUAAAGAGCUCGUAGGCGGUCUGUCGCGUCUGCUGUGAAAACUCAGGGCUUAACCCUGAGCUUGCAGUGGGUACGGGCAGACUAGAAUUCGGUAGGGGAGACUGGAAUUCCUGGUGUAGCGGUGGAAUGCGCAGAUAUCAGGAGGAACACCGGUGGCGAAGGCGGGUCUCUGGGCCGACAUUGACGCUGAGGAGCGAAAGCGUGGGGAGCGAACAGG